rnacentral:rRNA from 1 species
AGCGAACGCUGGCGGCGUGCCUAACACAUGCAAGUCGAACGUGAAAAGGGAAACCUGAGUAAAGUGGCGUACGGGUGAGUAACGCGUAGGUAAUCUACCCCAGAAUCUGGAAUAACCUGCCGAAAGGCGGGCUAAUACUGGAUAGAGCGAGGGAACUCGUAAGAGAGUUUUUCGGGAAAGGGAGCCCGCAAGGGCCUUCGUUCUGGGAUGAGCCUGCGUCUCAUUAGCUAGUUGGUAAGGUAACGGCUUACCAAGGCGAUGAUGAGUAGCUGGUCUGAGAGGAUGAUCAGCCACACUGGAACUGAAACACGGUCCAGACUCCUACGGGAGGCAGCAGUGGGGAAUCUUGCGCAAUGGACGAAAGUCUGACGCAGCCACGCCGCGUGAGUGAAGAAGGCCUUCGGGUUGUAAAGCUCUGUCGGAUGGGACGAACAUCUUCAUAGUGAAUAGCUAUGAGGACUGACGGUACCAUCAAAGGAAGCACCGGCUAACUCUGUG